CGAGGGCCUGAGAUGCCUGACUCUGUCCCAAGGGCUCCACGUGAGACCCUAGGGUUUUAUACAGCAGCAUAAGGAGGCAGAGAACUGUAAAGGUGGACACUGAGUUUACAACUCAUGCUGAAGCAGCGUCAGAAUUGAGAAAAGAAGAAGAGCUGUGUGCAGCACCCAGGGGCCCCUGGAUCGCUUUCCUACCAGGUUUUUACAGGAGAGAGUCUGGCUCCACUGCCAGGGAAGGACCAACUCUGAUUGGCAGAGAAGCAUCUUGCAGGCCUUUCCUUUAAGGUCUUUCAUCUAAUUCCUCCUGAUCCUGCAUGGCAACUCAUCUAACUGGUGAUAUAACUGGUGAAGUGGGCAUCUGAACCACCUUCCUCUCCUUAUUCCUCCGGUUCACAUUCCCCCAUGCUGUCAAGUAGCUCAGAAUCCCUUUCGACUACUUUGAGGUUUUAGGUUUUGAUUCCUUCAAAGGGCCCAGACUGGAGAGAUGGCUCAGUAAUUAAAAGCACUUGUUAGUCUUCCAGAGGACCUGAGUUCAAUUCCCAGCACCUAUGUCAGACAGCUCACUGCUUCCUGUAACACUAGCUCCAGACUUUACUGAAUGUUCACAGAUCUGGAGAUAUGCAGUCUUCCCUGUAUUACAGGAUCUGUGUGAAGAGUGGGGAUGGAAUCUCUGCGCUCCUUCACUGUGGUUGAUUUUAACAGGGGAACCAGAGGCAGGAACCAAAAACCAGUAAGGCAUCCAAUAAAAUUUCACUCAUUCUGGAUCACACUUAAGAUUUUUCUCCUACAUUGAUACCACAAACCAUAAAAUCUUGCUGUUGCUGAAGAUCUGUGGAUAUAGGACAGCUCUCCCGUCAUGGGGAGUCCUACCCCAGUCUCAAGGAUGCCCCUCCAUUUUACCUAGUUUCUUCAGCAGCUUGCAGGCUGACUCACUAGGAGGGCUCAGUCAACAACUGCAUUCUCCGGUAUUAAGUAUGGUGAAAGAUGAUGAAGCUAGACUCAGUUAAACCGCAGAAAGACUGUCUUCAGAUAAGAAGAAGCCGUGAUGCUCAAAGCUGCUGUGGGCCUCUGCUGUAUGACCAACAUUAAGGCCAGUGCUUUGAACACAUGUGCCUAAGGAUCUAACAUAUCUACAUACAAGAUGAUUGAAAGCGAGGCACGGUGUUUCAUCUCCUUAGACUGUGUCCAGAGAUUUUUGCAACUCACAGCAUGCAGUAUCAAUUAGGUAUUAGUACUGUAAGGAUUCAGAACAAAUCUCCCCAUUGCAAUGUCAAUGGAAAUGUAACUUGUAUAUAAGAUAAACAUAACAACACCUUUGGAAUGAAAUUUGUUUAAAACAUCUAUAGAAGAUCAUGCAUGCAGGGGGUGGUUUAAAAAUACAUAAGCAGGCAAUGAUGUGAAUUCACAGAAUGUCUGGUACUUAGGUUUGCCAAUCAACACGCUGCUUGGCAGAAGGGAGUCUUACAAUGAAAUAGCUACUGUUUAAGAGAAAAUAUGGUGUUCUCUGACCCACACGUCAAUGUCUACACUUGUGUCCCAGCGCUGGGGAUGUUCCCUAUGGAACCAGAAACCUGUGUUGUCCUUUAUUUCUUUCUCUGCUAGUCUGAAUUUGGAAUAUUUAACACUUUACAUGUAAAACUUCAAUAUUUUAGAUUUCGCAAUUUGGAGCACAGUUGUUUUAGUUAAAAUUGCUUUUCUUUCUCUACUUAAACUAAAGAGAAAAUAACAACUAUUUGGUUCUGCUGGAGUAAGAAAGAAGAAUUCCAAAUGUUAUAACAAUAAAAAUUUUAGAAAUUUUCA